GCCAGAACUUUUUCUUGUUCUGUCAAAGUCACUGCAAGCAGGUCUGAAAUCUUUCUGACCUGUCCUAAUGAACUUUGAGAUUUACCCUCGCA
rnacentral:sRNA from 1 species